UUGGCUUGCAUAAACCUUUUUUUUCAACCUCAUUAUAAUAUGCGACAAACUAUUAACAAAUACAUAUAUUCUAUCGAUUGGAAUAUCCGUUUGGCAUUGAAACACCGGGUGGGGCAUUUAAAUUAGAGGACUCCGACGUAUUGUAUGAGCCUGGUGCACCAGGGGGAGCUGUUGCACCAGGUAUACCAGGCAUAGCAGGAACAGCGGGAUAUCCAGGAAAUGGUGCGGGCAUGCCAGGAGGCAAAGCCAUUCCAGGUGGAACCAUGGGUGGUUGAGACAUAUUCAGGUUCGGCAUACCAGGCGCCCCAGGAAUUGGUGGCAGAGGCACACCAGGAGGAGCGAAUGUAGUAGGUGGAAGGGGAGCAGAAGUACCAGGGAUGAAUGGCGCAUUUUGUGAAGGUACUAAAUUAGAAGGCUGUACAGCGGACUGUUGAGUUGGCUGCUGCCAAGGAGGUAGUGAACUUGGAUUCAUAGAAAGGGCAGGGGCAGAUUGUGGAGCAGCAGGUUGCUGCCAAGGGGCUGGAUUUGAAGGGGCGGCUGAUGAAGCUGGUUUGGCCCAAGGAGCAGGACUAGAAGUGCUGCUAGAUACCGAAGUAGACGCAGCAGCCCAAGGUGGAGGGUGACCUGCUUGAGGACUAGCAGCUCCACUUUCGGAAAAUUCAAUAGAUUUUUGGGGUUCACCAUUACCAUUGGAAAUAGCCGAUCCCCCACCAAGCUCUUGCAUAAGACUUUGAUAUUCCCGAUCAGCAGUAGAAUCAGCCAUUGGAGGUUGUUGAUCUCUAACAGGACAGUCGCGAGCAAUAUGGCCAAUACUUCCGCAAUGCCUACAAACAAUGUUCAUUGUGUGAUUGAUACGUUCAGGACAAUCGAAACGACGAUGACCCACGUUACCGCAAUUUUGGCAAACCUGAUUUUCAUCGUCUCGUAAAGUACCAUUAAGAGUAGCAAGCUGACGAAGUUGAUUUCUUUUUAAGUCGUUUUGGCCUUCUGGAACAGAAGCGGCCGUUUGGAUAACAUUAUCAAUUAGUUUUAUGGCAUGGUUAAUUUUAUCUUCAGAGUCUGCGGUAACAAGGCAGUGUAAAUCUUCUUCCAUAUUACCUCGGACAGAUGGAUCGCUUCUUCCUUUUCCUUCUUUAACACUUCCUUUACCACGAAUAGCAAUUUUGGCUCCAGAUUUUGCUUCCAUAUCCUUCAAAGUGUGGCCACGAGGACCGAUCAGGAGGCCGAUGAAAUUAAUCUCUGGAUAAUCCUUAACGGGAACGUAAACCUUCUCUUGUGUUUUUGCAGGUCUUCUAUAAUCACUGGGAGCACGAAAGCCUGGCACCAUUUUCAUUGCGCGCUCAAUAAUCCGGUGACGCUCAUCCUCUAGCUUUUUCUUGUAACGGAUUUCUCGAGUAUUCAAUCGGCGACCAUGGUUAUCGUAUUGCGGAGGAGGAGAAGGGGACCGUUCACGGUGAUGAGGAACAACAUCACCGGUUCUAAGCUUUUGCGUAAUUUCUUCCAAUCGAACAUUCAAAGAGUAUAAUUCUAAUUGCUCCAUAGUCAUACAGGAUUUAACGGCAGUUUCCAGCUCCAUUUGGCUUGGUAACAUUUCCUCAAUCGGGGUUGGAUGACCCCAAUAAUGUUUUCUAUAAGCUCGACGACCUCGACCAUCGUGAUAGCCAUCCGGUCUAUGAUCCAUUCUGGAAUUGCUUUUAUAAGAAUCGCGAUAACCAUUACUCAUUCCAUUUGCAUCAGGCAAUGGUGGUAAAGAAUCUGGUUUUUCGUCAAACCGCCUCCUUCCUAAGGGAGUAUUAUUCGAACCUAAAAAUAUUAAUAAUUUGCACUAAUAAUCUCUUAAAACACUUACCAGUAGACCCUACUGACCUUGAAUUCAGCAUUUUAAUAAGACUGCUAGAUCGAAGACGGGCGUUGGUUCUUGGUGAAAAGUAACGACUGAAAUGUAGGAGGCAAGGAGGCAAUAAAGUAACGGACGAAACUGAAGAUACGACACGUUUGAGACAAACGAGUGCAAUAACCGUCUCGCUAAAAAAGAAUUAAAUGUAUAAUUACUUGAAUAAAUUUUCAAAUGAGACUAUUCAGUCAAUGAUAAGUUCAACCGAAAUUUUUUUUUUCUAACAAUACAGCAAGCAGUUCUUGCACUUGUUUCGAUAUUCAGUUAUUGAUCUUAAAUCGGUUUAGUGUAUCUCUAUUCAUUGCGCUAAAUAAAUCUAACGUACUUUAUUAUAAACAGCUUUAAGCAUCAUUGCAAUUUGGAUUUACAGAAACGAGACUGGCGGAUUACGGCUUAGAUAUGAUAUGGAAACAUUCAUCUUUCUUAAAAAAUAAUCAGACAAUGAUGGAGAGUUCCACCUCUGUUUGGUAGGGUAAAGCGUUGAUUCUUCUUUUUUUUUGCGAU